rnacentral:rRNA from 1 species
AUGAACGCUGGCGGCGUGCCUCAUACAUGCAAGUCGAGCGAACAGACGAGGAGCUUGCUCCUCUGACGUUAGCGGCGGACGGGUGAGUAACACGUGGAUAACCUACCUAUAAGACUGGGAUAACUUCGGGAAACCGGAGCUAAUACCGGAUAAUAUAUUGAACCGCAUGGUUCAAUAGUGAAAGACGGUUGUGCUGUCACUUAUAGAUGGAUCCGCGCCGCAUUAGCUAGUUGGUAAGGUAACGGCUUACCAAGGCAACGAUGCGUAGCCGACCUGAGAGGGUGAUCGGCCACACUGGAACUGAGACACGGUCCAGACUCCUACGGGAGGCAGCAGUAGGGAAUCUUCCGCAAUGGGCGAAAGCCUGACGGAGCAACGCCGCGUGAGUGAUGAAGGUCUUCGGAUCGUAAAACUCUGUUAUUAGGGAAGAACAAAUGUGUAAGUAACUAUGCACGUCUUGACGGUACCUAAUCAGAAAGCCACGGCUAACUACGUG